UACGAAGGGGGCGAGCGUUGUUCGGAUUUACUGGGCGUAAAGGGCAUGCAGGCGGUCAGACGCGUUUCGGGUGACAGCGGGUGGCUUAACUACCCGAGUGGUCGAAAGACGGUUUGACUUGAGGACGCGAGAGGGACACGGAAUUCCGGGUGGAGUGGUGAAAUGCGUAGAGAUCCGGAGGAACACCGAAGGCGAAGGCAGUGUCCUGGCGCGUAACUGACGCUGAGGUGCGAAAGCCAGGGGAGCGAACGGG
rnacentral:rRNA from 1 species